UAAGUCUCUAACCCUCUAAUCCUCUAUCGCAGAGAGCCACUGAGCCAGAGAGCCUCAGACGCUCACUGAGUCGCCGCCUCACUCUCUGCCCUCACUCCAUUCUCUAACCCAGACGAUCGAAAGAUUCAAAACCCAGACGAGCAAGACGAUCGCACUCAAAGAUCGGACGAUCACCCAGACGAGCGAGACCAUUGCGUCUUUGAUUUGCGAUUUGGUUGAUGAUGCAAUCUGGACCCUAGUCUUCGACCACCAUCAAUUUUCAGUCUCUCUUCUUGAAGUCAGAGGCCGACCCGGAAAGCAGGUGCAGGCGCAGGUGCAGCUAUCGGAGUCCGAGAUCCGACAACUAUUGGAGUCCGGAAAGAAGGUGCAGGUGCAGUCUCUGCCUCUAAAGAUUUGUGGCUGAGGUUGACUUUCUGGGACAGCUCCACCAUUUUUCUGUUCAGCUUGUUUAGUUACUGGUUUUAAAGUUGGAGUCUUUUUGUGUUGGGGGUGUCCUGGAAUCUUGUUAUUGAAUCUUUUGUGGAUAUAAAGAUCUGGGUUUUGUUGGGUUGAUGAUUUCUGAGAAGGGUUUCUGUUUGAAUUGGACAUAUCCUUCAUUAUGGUGCUUUUGAUUGGACGAUGCUAAAGCUGGGUUUUCCCUGUGAAGCAAUUAUUAAAGGGUGAAGUUAAUGCUAUUAAGUGGAAUCCGACCGGCUCAUUAUUGGCUUCUUGCUCUGAUGAUCAUACAGCAAAGAAUGCUUGGUGGCUGGAUUUAGGACGGUUGUCAGUGCGAUUUGGCGUCGGUAUAAUUUGCUACGUGGUACCUGUAUACAUAGCAGAAAUAACACCUACUGAUCUUAGAGGAAGGUUUACUUCAGCUACUCAGAUUUGGUAUUGAAUAUGGAAGGCCGGAAGCCUUGUUGCAUUGAUGAAGAGGAACUGAGGAAGCCAUGCUGGAAAUGUUUGAUUGUUUGCAGUAAUGCACUUUGAAGAAAUAUUGAAUCAUUCAUGAACUAUUUCAAUUUUAGUUGGUUUGUUUCAGUUUGAGACUUUGAAUUGCUCAGUUUGAUGUUGAUUGUUAAUUGUUGAUGUUGAUUGUUGAUGUUGAAUGUUGAUGUUGAUGUUGAUGUUGAACUAUUUCAAUUUUAGGUUUGUUUCAGUAGGAGACUUUGAAUUUCUAAUUUGUUAUGUUGAUGUUGAUUGUUGAAUAUGUAGAUUGUA